GGGGAUAUAGCUCAGUUGGUAGAGUGCUUGCCGUACAUGUGCAAUGCCCUGGGUUCAAUCCCCAGUACUACCA
rnacentral:tRNA from 1 species